UACGUAGGGGGGCAAGCGUUGCCCGGAUUUAUUAGGCGUAAAGAGCUCGUAGGCGGUUUGUUGCGUCGGCUGUGAAAUCCCGAGGCUCAACCUCGGGUCUGCAGUCGAUACGAGCAAACUAGAGUGUUGCAGGGGAGACUGGAAUUCCUGGUGUAGCGGUGAAAUGCGCAGAUAUCAGGAGGAACACCGGUGGCGAAGGCGGGUCUCUGGGCAACAACUGACGCUGAGGAGCGAAAGCGUGGGGAGCGAACAGG
rnacentral:rRNA from 1 species